AAAAAGCUCGUAGUUGGAUUUCUGCCGAGGACGACUGGUCCGCCCUCUGGGUGAGCAUCUAGUUCGGCCUGGGCAUCUUCUUGGAGAACGUAGCUGCACUUGACUGUGUGGUGCGGUAUCCAGGACUUUUACCUUGAGGAAAUUAGAGUGUUUCAAGCAGGCACACGCCUUGAAUACAUUAGCAUGGAAUAAUAAGAUAGGACCUCGGUUCUAUUUUGUUGGUUUCUAGAGCUGAGGUAAUGAUUAAUAGGGAUAGUUGGGGGCAUUCGUAUUUAACUGUCAGAGGUGAAAUUCUUGGAUUGUUAAAGACGGACUACUGC
rnacentral:rRNA from 1 species